rnacentral:rRNA from 1 species
GUGGGGAAUAUUGGACAAUGGGCGAAAGCCUGAUCCAGCCAUGCAGCGUGUGUGAAGAAGGUCUUCGGAUUGUAAAGCACUUUAAGUUGGGAGGAAGGGCAGUAAGUUAAUACCUUGCUGUUUUGACGUUACCGACAGAAUAAGCACCGGCUAACUUCGUGCCAGCAGCCGCGGUAAUACGAAGGGUGCAAGCGUUAAUCGGAAUUACUGGGCGUAAAGCGCGCGUAGGUGGUUUUGUAAGUUGGAGGUGAAAUCCCCGGGCUCAACCUGGGAACUGCCUCCAAAACUGCAUGACUAGAGUACGGUAGAGGGUAGUGGAAUUUCCUGUGUAGCGGUGAAAUGCGUAGAUAUAGGAAGGAACACCAGUGGCGAAGGCGACUACCUGGACUGAUACUGACACUGAGGUGCGAAAGCGUGGGGAGCAAACAGGAUUAGAAACCCUUGUAGUCC